CAGUCGAACGAACUCUGGUAUUGAUUGGUGCUUGCAUCAUGAUUUACAUUUGAGUGAGUGGCGAACUGGUGAGUAACACGUGGGAAACCUGCCCAGAAGCGGGGGAUAACACCUGGAAACAGAUGCUAAUACCGCAUAACAACUUGGACCGCAUGGUCCGAGUUUGAAAGAUGGCUUCGGCUAUCACUUUUGGAUGGUCCCGCGGCGUAUUAGCUAGAUGGUGGGGUAACGGCUCACCAUGGCAAUGAUACGUAGCCGACCUGAGAGGGUAAUCGGCCACAUUGGGACUGAGACACGGCCCAAACUCCUACGGGAGGCAGCAGUAGGGAAUCUUCCACAAUGGACGAAAGUCUGAUGGAGCAACGCCGCGUGAGUGAAGAAGGGUUUCGGCUCGUAAAACUCUGUUGUUAAAGAAGAACAUAUCUGAGAGUAACUGUUCAGGUAUUGACGGUAUUUAACCAGAAAGCCACGGCUAACUACGUGCCAGCAGCCGCGGUAAUACGUAGGUGGCAAGCGUUGUCCGGAUUUAUUGGGCGUAAAGCGAGCGCAGGCGGUUUUUUAAGUCUGAUGUGAAAGCCUUCGGCUCAACCGAAGAAGUGCAUCGGAAACUGGGAAACUUGAGUGCAGAAGAGGACAGUGGAACUCCAUGUGUAGCGGUGAAAUGCGUAGAUAUAUGGAAGAACACCAGUGGCGAAGGCGGCUGUCUGGUCUGUAACUGACGCUGAGGCUCGAAAGUAUGGGUAGCAAACAGGAUUAGAUACCCUGGUAGUCCAUACCGUAAACGAUGAAUGCUAAGUGUUGGAGGGUUUCCGCCCUUCAGUGCUGCAGCUAACGCAUUAAGCAUUCCGCCUGGGGAGUACGGCCGCAAGGCUGAAACUCAAAGGAAUUGACGGGGGCCCGCACAAGCGGUGGAGCAUGUGGUUUAAUUCGAAGCUACGCGAAGAACCUUACCAGGUCUUGACAUACUAUGCAAAUCUAAGAGAUUAGACGUUCCCUUCGGGGACAUGGAUACAGGUGGUGCAUGGUUGUCGUCAGCUCGUGUCGUGAGAUGUUGGGUUAAGUCCCGCAACGAGCGCAACCCUUAUUAUCAGUUGCCAGCAUUAAGUUGGGCACUCUGGUGAGACUGCCGGUGACAAACCGGAGGAAGGUGGGGAUGACGUCAAAUCAUCAUGCCCCUUAUGACCUGGGCUACACACGUGCUACAAUGGAUGGUACAACGAGUUGCGAACUCGCGAGAGUAAGCUAAUCUCUUAAAGCCAUUCUCAGUUCGGAUUGUAGGCUGCAACUCGCCUACAUGAAGUCGGAAUCGCUAGUAAUCGCGGAUCAGCAUGCCGCGGUGAAUACGUUCCCGGGCCUUGUACACACCGCCCGUCACACCAUGAGAGUUUGUAACACCCAAAGUC
rnacentral:rRNA from 2 species